AACCGAUGUGGUGCAGUGGUUAGCACCUACGACUGCCUGCUACGCAGAAUAUUCCGGGUUCAAUUCCCGGUGUGGUCA